CAGGGAAUCUUGCACAAUGGGCGAAAGCCUGAUGCAGCGACGCCGCGUGGGGGAUGAAGGCCUUAGGGUCGUAAACCCCUUUCAGCAGGGACGAAAAUGACGGUACCUGCAGAAUCAGCUGCGGCUAACUACGUGCCAGCAGCCGCGGUAAUACGUAGGCAGCGAGCGUUGUUCGGAGUUACUGGGCGUAAAGGGUGUGUAGGCGGUGCUCUAAGUGUGGUGUGAAAUCUCCCGGCUCAACUGGGAGGGUGCGCUACGAACUGGAGUGCUCGAGUGCGGGAUGGGAGAGUGGAAUUCCUGGUGUAGCGGUGAAAUGCGUAGAUAUCAGGAGGAACACCGGUGGUGUAGACGGCUCUCUGGACCGCAACUGACGCUGAGACACGAAAGCGUGGGUAGCAAACAGGAUUAGAUACCCAGGUAGUCCCUGAGCGGGCUGGCAAGGCGCAU
rnacentral:rRNA from 1 species